GACGAACGCUGGCGGCGUGCCUAAUACAUGCAAGUCGAACGCAGUGGGGACGGGUGAGUAACACGUGGGUAACCUCCCAUCAGAGGGGAUAACACUUGGAAACAGGUGCUAAACCGAUACUGAUGGAUGGACCCGCGGUGCAUUAGCUAGUUGGUGAGGUAACUGCUCACCAAGGACACGACGCAUAGCCGACCGGAGAGGGUACCCGGCCAAACUGGGACUGAGCCACGGCCCAGACUCCUACGGGAGGAAGAAGUAGGGAAUCUUCGGCAAUGGCCGAAAGUCUACCAGGGAAACGCCGGGUGGGUGAAGAAGGUUUUCGGAUCGUAAAACUCUGGUGUUAGAGAAGCGGUAUCUAACCAGAAAGCCACGGCUAACUACGUGCCAGCAGCCGCGGUAAUAC
rnacentral:rRNA from 1 species